AACAGUUCACUUUUUCACUUUUCACACUUUCUUCUUCUUCCGUUUAUUUUGAACUCGAAUUUUUUAACGACGGAACCACCGUGCCGGUAUUCUACUUCCGCCGUCGUAUUCUUCUCCUUCAAAGGUUAGUCUCAUAUUCCUUUAUUAUGUUCAAUUCAUUCCUCAAACCUAUAAAUACCUAAUUUCUCCGUAUGUGUCUCAAAAUCAUUUAUGCGUGAUUUAUUUGAAAAAUCCCAAUCUUCUUCUGUAAUCCGAAAAAGAAAACCUCGACUCUGAUGGAUUGAUUAUCUCUUGUAAUUCAUUUCAAUUUUGAAUUUAUCUCAAUUCUUAUUGUGUAUGGUGUUUAAUUUCUGUUUUUUUUUUUUGUGCGGUUGGUGGAUUAUUGUGUGUCAUUGUUUGGACUGCUGAUCACCCUCCCCUGUGCUUGCCGCGAGCUUCACUACCUUAGGCAGCUUCUUCGCCGGUUCGAACUCGGGAGAGGGGUGGUAUCAAUCUUGCAGUUGUAGUUGUAAUGCGAAAUUGGGAAAUUUAAGGUAAGGAGACACUGGUCCUGGUCAUUGCAUUGUCAGGUACUUGAAUUUUUCAAGAAAACACUAAAGUUCAUUCUCCAUUUUAAGCUAUGAGUAAUCAUGGGAGAAACUCCACCAUAUAUACACUAUAGGUGUUGGUGCAGCAUGUCAAAGUAAAUUGGGUUCAAUCCUUAUUGAAUGAGAUGAUUAAGCUGAAACAGUCGAUCAAGAUUUCACUAGCUAAGAAUUCUAUUGCACAUAAGAAGAGCAAACACAUAUAGAGAGACAAGAUUUCACUUUCUACGGGAUCAAGUCACAAGGGCAAGCUGAAUGUUGUCUACUGUCCUACAGAAUAUGGCUGGUGUGUUUACUUAAGCAAUCAAAAAGUGAAAUUCAUGAAGUUGAGAAUGUGUUUACUUAAGCAAUCAAAAAAGUGCAGUUCAUGAAGUUGAAAAGGAAACUUUGAGUUAUGACUUUUGAUAGCUUGAAUUAAGCGGAAUGUUCAGAAUAAUUCAAGCCUUUAAUAGGUUAGAACUUUUUUAGUAGUUACUUAUGAAUAAAUAAAUUAGUUAGUUAGGUAGAGUUAGUUCCUAGUUUUAGAAAUUUCGUAAAAAUACAUUUACUUGGUGUGCAAGUAACAAGUGACUGAGGCUAUUUAUAAAUCUAUGCGCAUCAAUAAAAAGUACUUCUU